rnacentral:rRNA from 1 species
GAUGAACGCUGGCGGCGUGCCUAAUACAUGCAAGUCGAGCGAACGGACGAGAAGCUUGCUUCUCUGAUGUUAGCGGCGGACGGGUGAGUAACACGUGGAUAACCUACCUAUAAGACUGGGAUAACUUCGGGAAACCGUAGCUAAUACCGGCUAAUAUUUUGAACCGCAUGGUUCAAAAGUGAAAGACGGUCUUGCUGUCACUUAUAGAUGGAUCCGCGCUGCAUUAGCUAGUUGGUAAGGUAACGGCUUACCAAGGCAACGAUGCAUAGCCGACCUGAGAGGGUGAUCGGCCACACUGGAACUGAGACACGGUCCAGACUCCUACGGGAGGCAGCAGUAGGGAAUCUUCCGCAAUGGGCGAAAGCCUGACGGAGCAACGCCGCGUGAGUGAUGAAGGUCUUCGGAUCGUAAAACUCUGUUAUUAGGGAAGAACAUAUGUGUAAGUAACUGUGCGCAGCUUGACGGUACCUAAUCAGAAAGCCACGGCUAACUACGUG